AUUCCAGCUCCAAUAGCGUAUAUUAAAGUUGUUGCAGUUAAAAAGCUCGUAGUUGAAUUUCGGGUCCGGCAUACUGGUCCGUCAAAUGGCGGUACUGGUGGUGUUGGACCUUACCUUCUGGGGAACCAAGGUGCUCUUCAUUGAGUGCUUUGGGGAACCAGAACCUUUACUUUGAAAAAAUUAGAGUGUUUAAGGCAGGCUUACGCUUGAAUACAUUAGCAUGGAAUAAUAGAAUAGGACUUUGGUUCUAUUUUGUUGGUUUCUAGGACCAGAGUAAUGAUUAAUAGGGAUAGUUGGGGGCAUUAGUAUUGAGCAGUCAGAGGUGAAAUUCUUGGAUUUGCUCAAGGCUAACAGCUGCGAAAGCAUUUGCCAAGGAUGUUUUCAUUA
rnacentral:rRNA from 1 species